rnacentral:misc_RNA from 1 species
GGAAGGAUCAUUAACACUAAUCCAAUCAACUCAACUUAGCCUUCAGUUGCAGUGGUCGCAUGUGCUAGCUUCGGCAGGCUAUUGCUAUCACUGCAGCAACUACAAAUCUAAUUACGCAAAGGAGCUUAACUAAGCUAUUACAUAAAACCAAAUUCUCAACGAUGGAUAUCUUGGUUCCCAUAACGAUGAAGAACGCAGCGAAGUGCGAUAAGCAAUGCGAAUUGCAGAACCGUGAGUCAUCAGAUUUUUGAACGCAACUGGCGCUAGUUGGCUAUCCAGCUAGCAUGCUUGUUUCAGUGUCUCUUUUUCUCCUCACCCAAAUCAUAAUGCGAUAGAUACCCUUCUAUUGCUAAGCAUGAAAGCACUCUGCACUCUGCGAGCGAUUUCGUUUCGAGGUCGCACUCAAUGCAGCAGUCACAUUGUUACAAUGUGAACUCAUUGAGAGUAGAGGCAGUGCAGGCAACUGCGAGUGCUUAGACACUUAAACUUUUUUUGUAUCUGAAAUCAAGCAGGAUUACCCGCUGAACUUAAGCAUAUCACUAAGCGGAGGAGAAGAAAUUAACUAAGAUUGCCUCAGUAACGGCGAGUGAAGCGGCAAAAGCCCAAAAUGGAAAUCUUGUACAAUAAUGUGCACGAAUUGUAAUCUAUAGGUUGUCUACUCAACGGGUGGUGACGCAGAAGUUUCCUCGAACGGAACGCCAAAGAGGGUGACAGCCCCGUAUGUGGUGUCGCCGCCUAACGAGUGGGUUUCCGAAGAGUCGGGUUGUUUUGUAUUGCAGCCCUAAGUGGGAGAUAAACUUCUUCUAAGGCUAAAUAUAUAUGGGAAACCGAUAGCGAACAAGUACUGUGAAGGAAAGAUGAAAAGAACUUUGAAAAGAGAGUCAAAAGACUUGAAAUCGUUGAGAAGGAAGCGGUAGAAAUUAAUUCUUCGUUGUAGUACUGUGUGAUCAUCUAACCAUUGCGGGUGGAGAGCACUGCAAAGGCUCUUAUUUGCACUUGGGGAAGUGAGCAGCUUGUACUGCAGCGUGAGGCAAAAUGGGGUCUUUGUACAGCAAAGGCUUUUCACGACUGGCUGCCUUCGGGCGGUAGCGUGGAUGUGCUGGCUGUAUGAGGGCCUGAGGAAGCUUCGUGCGAUUUUGCCAAAAUGGUUUUUACCGACCCGUCUUGAAACACGGACCAAGGAGUCUAACAAAUAUGCGAGUGUGCUGGUGGAAAAACCAACACGCGUAAUGAAAGUGAUCGAUGCCAAGCGCAAGCGGCAGCAUCGACCGACCAUGAUCCUCCGGUGAAAGGUUUGAGUAUGAGCAUAUCUGUUAGGACCCGAAAGAUGGUGAACUAUGCCUGAGUAGGGUGAAGUCAGGGGAAACUCUGAUGGAGGCUCGUAGCGGUUCUAACGUGCAAAUUGAUCGUCAAACUUGGGUAUAGGGGCGAAAGACUAAUCGAACCAUCUAGUAGCUGGUUCCCUC